ACCUGGGUGGCUCAGUCGGUUGAGCGUCCGACUUCAGCUCAGGUCACGAUCUCGCGGUCCGUGGGUUCGAGCCCCGCGUCAGGCU
rnacentral:tRNA from 1 species